rnacentral:lncRNA from 1 species
CUGUGAGGUGCCUGCGGCAAACAAGUCGUUAAAGGGAAGUCGCCAUCGCGAUAAACGGCGGCUGGCGGCCGAACCUCCGGCCGCGAGACGCCUAAGGAGCGCCGCUGCCUCCGUUUCCAGAGGCAUUUCAAGCACCGGCGCGCCCACGUGACGUCUCUUAAUUACUUCUUUUUUAUUUUGAUCAGGCUACUCUGCCGUCUGCCGAGCUCUGAGGCCCGCAGAGGGCGUAGCCGCGCGGAGGCUGCCGGGAGUUGUAGUUCCGGGCUGGCUAGCGCCGGUCUCCGGCCGCCAUUUUCCGUCGCCCUCAGGGCUCCAUGAGGGGCAGCGGGGCCCGGCUUCACUUGAGCUCGCGGGCGCACCCGGGAUGUGUCAGCGAACAUUUACAUACAUCGUGGGAGCGGGGGGCGCUCAGGGAGCACAGCCCAGGUAGCGUGUGGGACAAAAGCGAGGAGCCUCCCCGGCACCGGAGCGGUGAAGAGUACAGCGGUUGUUAACAAAACACGAGGCGUUCUGUGGUAACCCGGCCCAAACGUGCCCCUCCGCAGCGUGCACAGGCGGGAGGCUGGGCAGGAAGGGCGGCCCAGCCCGCAGGCACCGUGUGCAUCGCGGCCGUCCCAGCAGCAGCAGCUCCAGCCUCUGGCCCGGCCCUUACGGAGCCCUGCCAUGCCGUGCCUGCAGUCAGCCAGCAGCGGAGACCUCUGAAAAGUCUUUGCGCCUGUUCUUGCCCUGGUUUUUCACGCUGUGACUUCGUGCCUUCGUUAAGCCCUGUUACUUCCUGCCCUUGCGACAUUCCCAGAGAGGCGGGAGCAGCGCAGGUCCCACCCUCUCUGUUUGAACCGGUCCGGGAGCGCCUCUCCCCGCCGGGCUGGGGGUGCCUCGGGGCAUUUGCCCAUCCCAACAGCACAGCCUUGGCCACAAAGUACCUGCUGGGCAUGGCCAGGACCAGAGCAUCCAUCCAUGAAGCACUGGAAAUUCAAACACCUGCUGAUGUGGCUGCUGGAAGAGCUGGGACAGGAAUUCCUGCAGCCUCCCCAACCACUGGAGAAGGCUCUGAAGCCACACUGCCUCAGCCCAUGGGGCUGCUCCCUCCUGGCACAGCUCCCACACGCUGUGAUCCCGUUAGGAGUAAGCACAGCUUGGACCAAGAAGAGCUACAGAGCUCUCACUGA